CCUGGCUCAGGAUGAACGCUAGCUACAGGCUUAACACAUGCAAGUCGAGGGGCAGCAUGGUCUUAGCUUGCUAAGGCCGAUGGCGACCGGCGCACGGGUGAGUAACGCGUAUCCAACCUGCCUUACACUCUUGGACAGCCUUCUGAAAGGGAGAUUAAUACAAGAUGUUAUCAUGAGUAAGCAUUUUCGCAUGAUUAAAGGUUUACCGGUGUAAGAUGGGGAUGCGUUCCAUUAGAUAGUAGGCGGGGUAACGGCCCACCUAGUCUUCGAUGGAUAGGGGUUCUGAGAGGAAGGUCCCCCACAUUGGAACUGAGACACGGUCCAAACUCCUACGGGAGGCAGCAGUGAGGAAUAUUGGUCAAUGGACGAGAGUCUGAACCAGCCAAGUAGCGUGAAGGAUGAAGGUUCUAUGGAUUGUAAACUUCUUUUAUACGGGAAUAAACGAAUCCACGUGUGGAUUUUUGCAUGUACCGUAUGAAUAAGGAUCGGCUAACUCCGUGCCCGCAGCCGCGGUAAUACGGAGGAUCCGAGCGUUAUCCGGAUUUAUUGGGUUUAAAGGGAGCGUAGAUGGGUUGUUAAGUCAGUUGUGAAAGUUUGCGGCUCAACCGUAAAAUUGCAAUUGAUACUGGCAGUCUUGAGUACAGUUGAGGUAUGCGGAAUUCGUGGUGUAGCGGUGAAAUGCUUAGAUAUCACGAAGAACUCCGAUUGCGAAGGCAGCUUACUAACCUGUAACUGACAUUGAUGCUCGAAAGUGUGGGUAUCAAACAGGAUUAGAUACCCUGGUAGUCCACACGGUAAACGAUGAAUACUCGCUGUAGGCGAUAUACAGUCUGCGGCCAAGCGAAAGCAUUAAGUAUUCCACCUGGGGAGUACGCCGGCAACGGUGAAACUCAAAGGAAUUGACGGGGGCCCGCACAAGCGGAGGAACAUGUGGUUUAAUUCGAUGAUACGCGAGGAACCUUACCCGGGCUUAAAUUGCAACCGAAUAUGGCGGAAACGCUAUAGCUAGCAAUAGCGGUUGUGAAGGUGCUGCAUGGUUGUCGUCAGCUCGUGCCGUGAGGUGUCGGCUUAAGUGCCAUAACGAGCGCAACCCUUGCCGAUAGUUACUAACAGGUUAUGCUGAGGACUCUGUCGGGACUGCCAUCGUAAGAUGUGAGGAAGGUGGGGAUGACGUCAAAUCAGCACGGCCCUUACGUCCGGGGCUACACACGUGUUACAAUGGGGGGUACAGAGGGCUGCUACCACGCAAGUGGAUGCCAAUCCCAAAAACCUCUCUCAGUUCGGAUUGAAGUCUGCAACCCGACUUCAUGAAGCUGGAUUCGCUAGUAAUCGCGCAUCAGCCACGGCGCGGUGAAUACGUUCCCGGGCCUUGCACACACCGCC
rnacentral:rRNA from 1 species